UCUUGGCAUUAUAUUUGCCGUGAAGGACCCUGUCUAUUUCAUAAAGCAGGCGGAUCAUUGCGCGAUAGGCAUUUACGCCCAGGUCCGGAGUGCUGGCGUGCACCUGCUUUCCAACCGCGGUAAUCCGCAGCCAUAGCACGCCCUUCUCUGCAAUUUCUAUUGACAUUCCAUCAGAGGUGCCGAAAUCCGGCACGAGUAUAAGGUCGUCUUUGCCGAAUAUGUUCUCCUUCAGCAGCCGCUUUAUGCCGUAUUCACUGCCUACUUCCUCGUCGGCGGCAAGGCACACGCCGAAGUUGUAUCUUGGCUGAGCCUUCGCGUCUAUGAGAGCCUUGAGUGCGUAUAUGCUUCCGAUGGCAGACUGGCCGUCGUCGGUUGUGCCCCUGCCGUAUAUUUUGCCGUCCUUCUCUACGGGAUCAAACGGAUCGUGGUCCCACAGCGCCAGAUCCCCUGGCGCAACGGUAUCUAUGUGCGAUAUUACCCAGAGCGUACUUUUUGCACCGCCGUAUGUCGCUAUGAGGUUAGACCUCUUCGCCUUGGAGUCGUCAACAUAAUCGUAUCGCCUGACUUUUAUCCCGAAUCCGGAUAUGAGGCUUUCGAGCAUGUCGGCCCUUGCGGAUUCGCCUUUGCCUCCGCUGAGCGGAGAUAUUGCUGGUAUUUUUACCAUGUCCUUGAGGGAAUCUACCAUCUUCCGCUCGCUGGCCGCCACGGCCUCGACAGCUACGGCUUUUGCGUUGUCCAAUCAAUCACUUAGCCCAAGGGGCACUAUAAGGAUAUAGCGAUACAAAUAAAUACUUUUUUGUUAGUAAAGAUAUUACUCGUCUAAUGCUGGCGGCAUUUAUUGCUGUUGCAUUGCCGUCGCGUGAUUAUUGCCUUACAUUUCAUGCUUUGUUAAAUUGUUAGUUUUAUUGAUGUGUUAUGAAAAUUCCUGCUUGGAAUUGGAUGCAGUCUUGAGGAGUGCAAAAUGGUACCUACAAUUGCAAUUUAAGUACACAGGCCAGAACAUCGAUUCCAGUCGAUGCUGCUGGAGGGCACUGCUAUCAGAUUUCGACAGCCAUGCAAGUCGGCUCAACGGCUUCGUUGGGCGGCGUACGGCUCAGUAACACGUAGUUAACCUAACGUAAAGAGGCGAAUAACCUCGGGAAACUGAGGCUAAUGCACCAUAGGCUAGAACACCUGGAAGGAGUACUAGUCGAAAGGGGCGCAAAUCGCAGCGUUUCCGCUUUACGAUGGGACUGCGGCGGAUCAGGCAGAUGGCGGGGUAACGGCCCACCAUACCGAUAACCCGUAGGGGAUGUGGGAGCAUAGGCCCCGAGAAGGGCACUGAGACAAUGGCCCUAGCGCUACGGCGUGCAGCAGGCGCGCAAACUCCACAAUGCGCGUAAGCGUGAUGGGGGGAAUCUGAGUGGUUCACUUAGUGAACCUUUUGCCAAGUACAGCAAGCUUGGAGAAUAAGUGCUGGGCAAGACCGGUGGCAGCCGCCACGGUAAUACCGGCAGCACAAGUGGUGUCCACGAUUAUUGGGCUUAAAGCGCUCGUAGCCGGCCGAUGUCGUCUCGCGUGAAAUAUUGGCGCUCAACGUCAAUGCGGGCGUGAGAUACCCAUCGGCUAGGGAGCGGGUGAGGUCAGGAGUACUUAUGGGGGAGGGGCUAAAUCCUGUAAUCCCAUAAGGACUAACAGUGGCGAAGGCGCCUGACUAGAACGCAUCCGACGGUGAGGAGCGAAGGCUAGGAGAACGAAUCGGAUCAGAUACCCGAGUAGCCCUAGCAGUAAAUUAUGCAGACUCUGGUGUUGCAAGCAUCACGAAUGCUUGCAGUACCGUAGCACAAGUGUUAAGUCUGCCGCCUGGGGAGUACGGCCGCAAGGUUGAAACUUAAAGCAAUUGGCGGGGGAGCACACAAGGGGUGGAUGCUGCGGUUUAAUUGAAUCCAACGUCGGAAAUCUUACCAGAAGCGACGGCAGGGUGAAGGUCAGACUGAAGAUCUUACUUGACAAGCCGAGAGGUAGUGCAUGGCGACCGUCAGCUCGUGGUGUGAACUGUCCGGUUAAGUCCGGUAAAACGAGCGAGACCUUUGUCAACAGUUGCCACUGGCUUAGAGAUAAGCCAAGCACUCUGUUGGGACCGCCUCUGUUUAAAGAGGAGGAAGGAAAAGGCGACGAUACGUCAGUAUGCUCUGAAUCUUCUGGGCAACACGCGGCAUACAAAGAGUGGUACAAUGGGAUGCAAUGCCGAAAGGCAAAGCUAACCCCCUAAAACCACCCUAAGUUCGGAUUGAGGGCUGAAACUCGCCCUCAUGAAGCUGGAAUCCCUAGUAAUCGCUUGUCACUAUCGAGCGGUGAAUACGUCCCUGCUCCUUGCACACACCGCCUACCAAGUCACCCAAGUGGGGUCCUAGUGAGGCAACGCCUCUGGCGUUUUCGAAUUAGGGUUCCGCGAGGAGGGCUAAGGUAUAACAAGGUAUCCGUAGGGGAACCUGCGGAUAGAUCACCUCAAA
rnacentral:rRNA from 1 species